rnacentral:rRNA from 1 species
GCCGAAUAUCCAAGGUUUCCAGGGUAAAGCUGAUCUGCCCUGGGUGAGUCGGGGCCUAAGGCGAGGACGAGAGUCGUAGCCGAUGGACAACAGGUGGAGAUUCCUGUACUGCGGUAUGACAGAACUGUGGGGACACGUAAGGAAAGCGGAAGCCGGGAAUGGAAAGCCCGGUGCAAGCAGGGUACCAGUGCGGAAGGCAAAUCCGCCGCACAAUGGGAAGCUGUGAAGCGGAGCGAAAUAAAGUAGCGAAGUCCGUGAGCCAUGCGUCAAGAAAAGCCGCUAUUGUUUGUACCGUACCCGUACCGUAAACCGACACAGGUGGAUGAGGAGAGAAUCCUAAGGCCGGCGGAAGAAGCAUUGUCAAGGAACUCGGCAAAAUGGCCCCGUAACUUAGGGAUAAGGGGUGCCUGUGGAAACAGGCCGCAGAGAAUAGGCUCAAGCAACCGUUUAGCAAAAACACAGGUCUAUGCGAAACCGAAAGGUGAGGUAUAUGGGCUGACGCCUGCCCGGUGCUGGAAGGUUAAGAGGAGAGGUCAGAGCAAUCGAAGCCUUGAAUUUAAGCCCCAGUAAACGGCGGCCGUAACGAUAACGGUCCUAAGGUAGCGAAAUACCUUGUCGGGUAAGUUCCGACCCGCACGAAAGGCGUAAUGAUUUGAGCGCUGUCUCGACAAUGCAUCCGGUGAAAUUGAAGUACCAGUGAAGAUGCUGGUUACCCGCGCCAGGACGGAAAGACCCCAUGGAGCUUUACUCCAGUUUGGUACUGGGAUCCGGUAUUGCAUGUACAGGAUAGGUGGGAGGCAGAGAAUGUGCAGCGCCAGCUGCACAGGAGCCGCUGUUGGGAUACCACCCUUGCAGUAUUGGGUUUCUAACCAGCCGCCGUGAACCGGCGGUGGGACAAUGCCAGACGGGGAGUUUGACUGGGGCGGUCGCCUCCGAAAGGGUAUCGGAGGCGCCCAAAGGUUCCCUCAGGAUGGACGGAAACCAUCCAAGGAGUGCAAAGGCAGAAGGGAGCUUGACUGUGACACCGACGGGUGGAACAGGUACGAAAGUAGGGCUUAGUGAUCCGGUGGUAUUAAGUGGGAAUGCCAUCGCUCAACGGAUAAAAGCUACCCUGGAUAACAGGCUUAUCACUCCCAAGAGUUCACAUCGACGGAGUGGUUUGGCACCUCGAUGUCGGCUCAUCGCAUCCUGGGGCUGUAGUAGGUCCCAAGGGUUGGGCUGUUCGCCCAUUAAAGCGGUACGCGAGCUGGGUUCAGAACGUCGUGAGACAGUUCGGUCCCUAUCCGGCGUGGGCGUAGGAUAUCUGAAGGGAGCUAUCCUCAGUACGAGAGGACCGGGAUGGACGGACCGCUGGUGUACCGGUUGAGCAGCCAGGCUCAUGGCCGGGUUGCCAAGUCCGGAAGGGAUAAACGCUGAAGGCAUCUAAGCGUGAAGCCCCCCCUGAGAUGAGAUAUCCCAUUCGAAAGGAGUAAGACCCCUUGAAGACGACGAGGUAGAUAGGCUGGAGAUGGAAGUGCAGUAAUGUACGGAGUUGACCAGUACUAAUCGGUCGAGGGCUUGACCA